CACUGCCCCAAUGAAGUCUGCCUGGCGACGCCGCUGGUCUACCAGAUGUUCAGACUCUGUCAGAACGCAGCUCCUCCUUCGAUGUGUACGCCAAAGAUGGGCGCACACGGAGCUCCAUGCUGGCGUUAGGCGAGAUGCUACGACGUCUGAGCGGACGAUGUCCGCACGAGUAUGAAAUGGACGGCUGUUACUGCGGUCAGGAGGGCAGCGGCCAACCUGUGGACCACUUGGACAGGUGCUGCUUCUUCCACCAGUGUUGUCUCAAACCAGAUCACCUCGCAGGGCUGUGGCGCCGACAGGAAGCCGAGUGCACACAUCUCGUGCACAGACAGGAAACCCCGAUAUGAGUCCAACGCAGAUGUUGCGUGUUCCUGCUGUUGAUGUUCCUCAUCAUGUCCUGCACUGUGUUCAGGUGGGGGCAUGUCCAUGUGUGACAAGCUGCAGUGCAUGUGUGACAAAAAGUGAAUGGCGGCAGCAAACCGCAGGCAAUGCAGGGGUCAGCGCCUCCCUGCCGCCGGGUCAGCAGACCCCCCAAAAAGAGGAGGAGGAGAAAAACUGAGGGCUACAAAGUCAAAGUACAUUUGUAAUGAUUUGUGUACCUGGAGAUGAAGCUGAUGAAGACAACUGGUGCUCAAAUGUCAACUUUAUUCACUUU